ensembl:lncRNA
GUGUAGUUCCUCCCCAGCCAAUAGCUCCUGAAGUUUUAUGUGUAGGUUUCAGCUUGAUAUCACUUACUCAGAACCAUCACUCUGGACCACGGACACCUCCCCUCACCCCCAUCCCGAAUCCGGCCCUAUUUUUCUUCCUGGGACUUAGCCCUUGGCUCUCCCUCCGGCUUCACCGCUGGGACGUGAACCCAGCCAGGAAGAGCUCAGCUGAACUCUGGUCCAGAAGGACCAGAAGGAAUUAAUUCCUCGCUAUCCCCGGUUCCUCCAAUACAGCCCAGCCUAGUGGCUCAAGGUAAAUACUAGCAGAAGAAAUGAAUGAAUGAAGCACUUUCCCACCUUGUUAACCAGCUACAGUGGAAAGCAAACAGAUGCAGUACUUGCUCCGGAUGUCCCUGAGGCUGAGAUGGGAGGGCAAGAGCUGACGCGCCUACUUCUUCCUAGAGGCCAAGGUCCCAGCCAAGUAGAAGGCAGAAAAGAAACAGCAGUUACAAGUGUGCAACCCCUUUCUCCCCGCUCCCCCCACUCGCUGCUUGGACUGAACAGAAUCCAGAAAACUGAGGGAGAAUCCGGCUGAGUGGACCUGGAGUCUGCAGGGACCGAGUUGAAACAACCUUCACUGGGCGUGGUUGGCGCCCAACCUGGGAGGAAUCAGUGUGAGAUUCUGGCGCCACCUAGACGUCAGGGUGGGGAUUGCAAGCAUAGCGGGGAUGGCGACUCCCAGGGAAAUUUGGGCAGUUCAUCCCUGGGUCAUAUCCUGGGAUGAGAGGCCCACGUCAGGCAGCCCCUCCCUUCAGAUGGACACUGUGUGUGACCACUGUGUGAACGAGUGUAACAAGUGUAAGGUGUGGUUCUGAGAAGGGCCUGGGAGGGGACUGGGACCCCAGCCCUUGGCUGAGACUCUCGUCUCCACCCAGUCUGUCCUCCACGUUGGCUUAGUGUGGCCUUUCAACACCAUGCCAGAGUCUCCCGAGCCUGUUGACCACUCAUGACCUUCUUCCGAGACCCUAAUACCCAUUCUUGCGCAGUCUCCCUCCCUCCCAGCCCCUCUCAGAACUGUUUUCUUGGGUGUGGUGCUGACCUAGACCACGGGACUUGGGUGAAACCCCAGCUCUGACCCUGUACUGUCUGCAUGGGUUUAUUCCCAUACGAGGAAGUUCCUUCUUCUGGGCUGGUAUAGCCUUUGGCUCCCUCAUGUGUAAAAUAGGGAUCAUGAGGGUGGUGGGCAUCCCCGCGUGCCGGGCGGGAAGGGGCUGACGUGUGCAGUAACACCACUGCCCUCUCCGCCUGAGGGGCACUGCCCACCCACCCUCUCUCCCCCGCUGGACCGCCUGGGCCAGUCCUCUCCCCUCUUAGUCUCUGGCCAAGGAGCCGCUGCGAUUACACAGACGCGACC